rnacentral:rRNA from 1 species
UGGGGAAUAUUGCACAAUGGGCGCAAGCCUGAUGCAGCCAUGCCGCGUGUGUGAAGAAGGCCUUCGGGUUGUAAAGCACUUUCAGCGAGGAGGAAGGUGGUGGACUUAAUACGUUCAUCAAUUGACGUUACUCGCAGAAGAAGCACCGGCUAACUCCGUGCCAGCAGCCGCGGUAAUACGGAGGGUGCAAGCGUUAAUCGGAAUUACUGGGCGUAAAGCGCACGCAGGCGGUUUGUUAAGUCAGAUGUGAAAUCCCCGGGCUCAACCUGGGAACUGCAUUUGAAACUGGCAAGCUAGAGUCUCGUAGAGGGAGGUAGAAUUCCAGGUGUAGCGGUGAAAUGCGUAGAGAUCUGGAGGAAUACCGGUGGCGAAGGCGGCCCCCCUGGACGAAGACUGACGCUCAGGUGCGAAAGCGUGGGGAGCAAAACAGGAUUAGAUACCCUGGUAGUCCACGCUGUAAAACGAUGUCGAUUUUGGAGGUUGUGCCCCUUGAGGCGUGGCUUCCGGAGCUAACGCGUUAAAUCGACCGCCU